CCUACGGGCGGCAGCAGUGGGGAAUAUUGCACAAUGGGGGAAACCCUGAUGCAGCGACGCCGCGUGAGUGAAGAAGUAUCUCGGUACGUAAAGCUCUAUCAGCAGGGAAGAAAAUGACGGUAACUGACUAAGAAGCCCCGGCUAACUACGUGCCAGCAGACGCGGUAAUACGUAGGGGGCAAGCGUUAUCCGGAUUUACUGGGUGGAAAGGGAGCGUAGACGGCAGCACAAGGUUGGAGUGAAAUCCCGGGGCUUAACCCCGGAACUGCUUUGGAAACUGUGCGGCUGGAGUGCAGGAGGGGUAAGCGGAAUUCCUAGUGUAGCGGUGAAAUGCGUAGAUAUUAGGAGGAACACCGGUGGCGAAGGCGGCUUACUGGACUGUAACUGACGUUGAGGCUCGAAAGCGUGGGGAGCAAACAGGAUUAGAUACCCCGGUAGUC
rnacentral:rRNA from 1 species